AACAUGCUCCUUAGAUCCACCCUUGUGAUGAUCCCUUUAUAUCAGCUCUGAUAUUCAGGAUUAGUCGACAACUUUGUUGGUUGUAUAUCGAGGGUGCUUGAGUCAUAAGUGUGUGAGAGAAAUACACCUUAGUGACUGGUCGUUCUAUCUUUACGAACACGUACCCAAGUGUUGGACUAUGUAAAGAUUAUAACCAGUACCUAGGACAGA